rnacentral:piRNA from 1 species
UAGGAACCUCCGCUCAGGUAAAACUGAAUC